GUAAGUGUCCCAGAUAGUGAAGA
rnacentral:piRNA from 1 species